rnacentral:rRNA from 1 species
CCUACGGGGGGCAGCAGUGGGGAAUAUUGCACAAUGGGGGAAACCCUGAUGCAGCGACGCCGCGUGAGCGAAGAAGUAUCUCGGUAUGUAAAGCCCUAUCAGCAGGGAAGAAAAUGACGGUACCUGAGUAAGAAGCUCCGGCUAAAUAUGUGCCAGCAGCCGCGGUAAUAUGUAUGGAGCAAGCGUUAUCCGGAUUUACUGGGCGUAAAGGGAGCGUAGGCGGCCUGCCAAGUCUGAUGUGAAACACCGGGGCUCAACCCCGGGGCUGCAUUGGAAACCGGCAGGCUGGAGUGCCGGAGAGGCAGGCGGAAUUCCUAGUGUAGCGGUGAAAUGCGUAGAUAUUGGGAAGAACACCAGUGGCGAAGGCGGCUUGCUGGACUGUAACUGACACUGAGGCUCGAAAGCGUGGGGAGCGAACAGGAUUAGAUACCCGGGUAGUC